AUUGAACGCUGGCGGCAGGCUUAACACAUGCAAGUCGAACGGGUGGCGGACGGGAGGGUAAUGCUUGGGAAUCUAGCUUAUGGAGGGGGAUAACUACGGGAAACUGUAGCUAAUAACGCGUACAAUAGGAUGAGCCGAAGUGGGAUUAGGUAGUUGGUGGGGUAAAGGCCCACCAAGCCGACGAUCUCUAGCUGGUCUGAGAGGAUGACCAGCCACACUGGGACUGAGACACGGCCCAGACUCCUACGGGAGGCAGCAGUGGGGAAUAUUGGGCAAUUGGGGCAACCUGACGCAGCCAUGCCGCGUGAGUGAAGAAGGCCUUCGGGUUGUAAAGUUCUUUCGGUAGGGAGGCGUUACCUACAGAAGAAGCACCGGCUAACUCCGUGCCAGCAGCCGCGGUAAUAC
rnacentral:rRNA from 1 species